AUGGACCCAGCGUUGCACGUGGCUGCGGUGCAGGGGAGCGUGGCGAGCCUGAGGAAGCUGGCGGCCGAGCGCCCCGACAUCCUUGGCUCCAAGACGCCCCAGGAGAACACCGCACUGCACAUCGCCGCGGAGCUCGGCCAUGCCGGCUUCGCGGAGGAGGCCCUGCAUGUGGACCACAAGCUGCUCGUCAGCAAGAACGCCGACGACGACACGCCGCUGCACCUGGCGGCCAGGUCGGGGAAGGUGAGCGUGGUGGAGCUGCUCAUCGCACACUCCUCAACCACCGCGCGGGAUGGACAGACCGGGGAACCUUCCCCGAGCACCCCUGGUAGCGCGGAGGCGCAGGGGCCUCUGUUGAUGGCCAACAAGGCCGGCGACACCCCGCUGCACCAGGCCGUGCAGCACGGCUGGAGCGCCGUGGCGCUCAAGCUGCUGGACGCCGAGCCCAGCUGCGGCCACGCGCUCGACGCGAAAAAGCAGUCGCCGCUGCAUAUCGCCGCCCGGGAGGGCCUCGCGGACGUCGUGAGCAAGAUCGUCAGCCAUCCCUGGGUCCGCGAGAGGUUUGUCCCCUCCGACUCCGUCAGCGGCACCGCCCUGCACCAGGCCGUCCUCGGCGGCCACAGCCGUGUGGUGGAGAUAUUGCUCGAGGCGACGCCGGAGGAUCAGAUCGUGCUGACGGACUCGAGCGAGAACAACGCGCUGCACUACGCGGCGCAGAAGAACAGCGCCCGCGUGGUGAAGCUGCUGUUGAACCGGAAGGUGGAGCUGGCCUACAGGCGCAACCGCGACCUGCAGUCGCCGCUGCACGUGGCGGCCAACUACGGGUCGACGGAGGCCAUGGUGGAGCUGCUGAAGCACUGCCCCGACGCGGCGGAGAUGGUGGACAGCAAGGGCAGGAACGCCCUCCACGUCGCGGUCACCAGCGGCAAGGUGGACGCCCUCAAGCGCCUGCUCAAGCACGUCCGCCCCGAGGAGAUCGUCAACCGCGUCGACCAUGGCGGCAACACGCCGCUGCACCUCGCCGCCGCCCUGUCGCGCGUCCAGUCGGCGCUGCUCCUCAUCAAGGACCGCCGCGUCAACCCCUGCAUCCUCAACCGGGAGGGCCAGUCCGCGCGCAGCCUCAUCGAGAAGCGCGGCGCCAGCGAGGAGGAGAUGGACACCUACGAGAUGUACCUGUGGAAGAAGCUCAAGAAGCACGAGGCCUGCAGGUGCCAGAAGCAGCAGCUGCCUCCGAUCGCCACCUACCAGUCGCUGCGCGGCCGGAGGGCUGGCCACGACGAGUACUUCAAGCACAGCGUCGAGACCUACACGCUGGUGGCCACGCUCAUCGCCACCGUCAGCUUCGCCGCCACCUUCACCAUGCCGGGGGGUUACAGCCAGACCGAGGGCACGGCCAUCCACGGACACACGGCGGCGUUCAAGAUCUUCGUCAUCUCCAACACCGUCGCCAUGUGCAGCUCCGUCGUCGUCGUCUUCUGUUUCAUCUGGGCGUGGCGGGACCCCGUCAAGUUCAAGCUCGACCAACUCAUGUGGGGCCACAGGCUCACCAUCGUUGCCUGCCUCGCCAUGGUCGUCUCGCUCAUGACCGCUGUUUACAUCACCGUUGCGCCCACGGCAAGGUGGCCUGCGUACGUUGUCAUCGCCAUAGGAGCUAGCACUCCCGCCAUGGUGUUCCUCAUUCUUGGGAAAGAGGCAUUGUACAUCCCACUAUAG
rnacentral:rRNA from 1 species